CAAGAGACCUUAUCCUCUGUCUUUCUCAAACUGAAAUGGCUCAUCUAACAUCACAAUCGAUCACUACACUUUUCUUUUUGUCCUUGACGAAUCUUUAUGUUAUUUUUUUUACCCAGUGUGAUAAUUAGGACCGUAAAAAGUUGACAAAGUUGAAAUUGAAGGGAGUUAUUUCUCCUGCAUUUACUGAUUUAGGGUGUGUUUGGCAAACCUAUUUGAGAAGAUUAAAGUGUGUUGGAGUUCUUUAAACACUAUUUUAAUUGAUUUGAACUACUUGUAUCUUGGUGACAACAAUUUAAGACUCAGCUUAAGGUUCUAGAUGUUUCCAAUAACAAUUUGUCAGGAAAGGUUCCAACAUUUUCACCUGAAGUCUUGUUCGUUGGAAAUGGUAAUUCUUUGCUUGAUGAUCACCUUUCUCAAACAAAUGGAACAACUUCAACUACUUCAUCUUCACCACCAUGGCUCGCAUGGCUUGUAGUUUACUACAGAAGAUGACAUGGAAGAAAACAAGCACCUUUCCUGACCACAAUGUGGAACAUUUCAUAAAAAGUUAUCGUUCCAUGACUCUAAAGCGCUAUAGUUAUGGCGAACUAAAAGGAAUAAUAAAUUCAUUUAAUGAGAAAUUAAGACAAGAGAGAGAGGAAUAUGGUAUUGUGUAUAAAGCAAGAUUGGUUGAUGAUCGUCACGUGAUAGUGAAGGUACUAAAAGAAUUGAAAGGAAGAGAAGUGAAGUUGUAAAUGAAGUUAUCACUAUUGGUAGAACGACUCGUGUGAAUAUUGUUUUAUUUUUAGAAUUUUGUUAUGAAACACUCAGUUACAAAUUUAUGUUUAAUGGCUCUUUGGAUAAAUCCAUUUAUAAAAAAAUAUCUUCUGCUGAUGUGUGUGAUUUGGAUUAUUGGAGUACAUUGUAUAGAAUCACAAUUAGUAUUGUUUAAGGAUUAAAAUAUUUACAUCGAAAAUGUAAUACAAGAAUUUUA